AUUUCAGGGUUUUUCUUCAAAACGUACAAAUCUUUCGCCUUUUACUAAAGAUUUCCGUGGAGAGAAACCAAUCUGAAUCAUUUCUCAAUUUUUUGAGUCCUUGUUUUAACAAGGC